UGGGGAAUUUUGCACAAUGGGGGAAACCCUGAUGCAGCGACGCCGCGUGAUUUAGAAGGCCUUCGGGUUUUAAAAAUCUUUUCUAUGGGAAGAAAAUGACAGUACCAUAGGAAUAAUGACCGGCUAAUUACGGGCCAGCAGCCGCGGUAAUACGUAAGGUCCGAGCGUUGUCCGGAAUCAUUGGGCGUAAAGGGUACGUAGGCGGGUAAGCAAGUUAGAAGUGAAAUCCUAUAGCUCAACUAUAGUAAGCUUUUAAAACUGCUCAUCUUGAGGUAUGGAAGGGAAAGUGGAAUUCCUAGUGUAGCGGUGAAAUGCGCAGAUAUUAGGAGGAAUACCGGUGGCGGAGGCGACUUUCUGGCCAUAACCUGACGCUGAGGUACGAAAGCGUGGGUAGCAAACAGG
rnacentral:rRNA from 1 species